UUGCAAGAUGGUUGUCUCUCCUUCUUCCUGAAUAAGACAAUGUACCACUGUUACAAGAUUCCAAGUGAAUUCCUUCAAAGGAAGAGAAGGAUAACAUAAGAAGGCUUGGAUGACAGACUUUCAGUUAAACUUACAAAGAAAGAACAGUGCAGCACCAUCUAUGCCUACCUUUUUCUCAGAGUUUAU